UACAGAGGGGGCAAGCGUUGUUCGGAAUUACUGGGCGUAAAGGGCGCGUAGGCGGCCUGUUAAGUCGAACGUAAAAUCCCCGGGCUCAACCCGGGAACUGCGUCCGAUACUGGCAGGCUUGAAUCCGGGAGAGGGAUGCGGAAUUCCAGGUGUAGCGGUGAAAUGCGUAGAUAUCUGGAGGAACACCGGUGGCGAAGGCGGCAUCCUGGACCGGCAUUGACGCUGAGGCGCGAAAGCCAGGGGAGCAAACGGG
rnacentral:rRNA from 1 species